rnacentral:misc_RNA from 1 species
UUCCUGAUUUUCCCAUCGUUCGGGGCAUUCUGGGGCUGUUUUGGCUAUUGGUUGCUUGUUUGGUCUUGAGCUGAACGGGUGGCUUCUAGCCUGGUGGCUUCGGGGAUGUUGACCGUAAAGGUGGAUGAGUGGUGUUUGGUUUGUUACGUGUGGUUGGCUGCGGCGUUUGCAACAACUUCCAUGCUUUCAGACCUCUUCAUUUGUGCGGCAAGGCUUGUAUCGCCUUGAGCGUAUUGUGGGGUUGCUGUGUUGAAUACCUAAUCAAUGGUAUCGGUUGGAUUGAUCAAUGUUUCAUUUCGUCUGUCGUCGCAUUCGCGGCGUGAGAUGAACCUUGAUGCGGUCUCUUUGAUCCACCUCGUUGAAGCGCAUGCUUUGACGUUGUGGCGCAUUGAGCAUUGCUUGGUCUCUUGCAUACGGAACAUGUAGCGGGCAUGAAUCUAACGGUUCUUGUUUGCCCUCAUAUUAGCGUAACGCUUCUCUUACACGACUUGCUCCACGUUUUAG